UCCCGGAGCGGAGCCCUCGCAUAGCUUCUGUCCCGGAGACACACCCCCAAGGGACAGGAGGCGAGGCCGGUCUGCCGCUCGGGGCCCGCCGAGAGUCCAGGUCAGCCUCCGGGACGGAGCCUUAUCUGACCGCGUUCGUCCCCGUCCGCCCUCUGGAGCGCGGCCCUCACCGAUGCACUCCAGCUUCUUCUGCGGACAGCUCUCCAGGACCAGCAGGCCCAGCUCUCGGGCCGCCGCGCAGUAGGGAACCUUGUGACUCUACCACCUGAAGCUUCUGGAAGAUCUCGGGCGGCAGAAAUGGAGAUAGUUUCCCCCCUUCAUCCGAGUACACCCGGCGAUGUCGACUGGUGGAUGAGGUGCCUGGAGCAGCCACGGGCACAGCUGGCUUCAGGUGUGUUUUCCCUGCAAGACGCACACAAGCAAGGGGCAUUGUGGAGUCCAGCGCGCCACAGACACGUGGAUUUGUGUGUGGGGGGUGUCCGAGGGAAAUCUGCUGGAGACCCACCGAGCUGGGCAGCUGUUGACUGGGCCCUCUCCAGACACUGCUCAGCCAGUUUCAGCAUCUUUGAGGUGUCUGGGGCCAGAGUGUCUCCACCUUCUGGGGAGCAAGAGACAAGAAAACUGAUCACCAUCGCCUUUGUCACUAAACAGAGUCUUGCUGAAAUAAAAACAAGGACAAGCCCA